AACGAACGCUGGCGGCAUGCCUAACACAUGCAAGUCGAACGAGAACUUCGGGUCUAGUGGCGCACGGGUGCGUAACGCGUGGGAACCUGCCCUUAGGUUCGGAAUAACUGCCCGAAAGGGGAGCUAAUACCGGAUAAUGUCUUCGGACCAAAGAUUUAUCGCCGUUGGAUGGGGCCGGGUUGGAUUAGCUAGUUGGUAGGGUAAAAGCCUACCAAGGGGACGAUCCAUAGCUGGUCUGAGAGGAUGAUCAGCCACACUGGGACUGAGACACGGCCCAGACUCCUACGCGAGGCUGCAGUGGGGAGUAUUGGACGCUGGGCGAAAGCCUGAUCCAGCAAUGCCGCGUGAGUGAUGAAGGCCUUAGGGUUGUAAAGCUCUUUUACCCGGGAUGAUAAUGACAGUACCGGGAGAAUAAGCUCCGGCUAACUCCGUG
rnacentral:rRNA from 1 species